rnacentral:rRNA from 1 species
AUUGAACGCUGGCGGCAGGCCUAACACAUGCAAGUCGAGCGAGCGGCGGACGGGUGAGUAAUGUCUGGGAAACUGCCUGAUGGAGGGGGAUAACUACUGGAAACGGUAGCUAAUACCGCAUACCAUCAGAUGUGCCCAGAUGGGAUUAGCUAGUAGGUGGGGUAACGGCGCACCUAGGCGACGAUCCCUAGCUGGUCUGACAGGAUGACCAGCCACACUGGAACGGAGACACGGUCCAGACUCCGACGGGAGGCAGCAGUGGGGAAUAUUGCACAAUGGGCGCAAGCCUGAUGGAGCAAUGCCGGGUGUGUGAUGAAGGCCUUCGGGUUGUAAAGCAUUUUCAGCGGGGAGGCGUUACCCGCAGAAGAAGCACCGGCUAACUACGUGCCAGCCGCCGCGGUAAUAC